CCUACGGGUGGCAGCAGUGGGGAAUAUUGCACAAUGGGGGAAACCCUGAUGCAGCGACGCCGCGUGAGUGAAGAAGUAUUUCGGUACGUAAAGCUCUAUCAGCAGGGAAGAAAAUGACGGUACCUGACUAAGAAGCCCCGGCUAACUACGUGCCAGCAGCCGCGGUAAUACGUAGGGGGCAAGCGUUAUCCGGAUUUACUGGGUGUAAAGGGAGCGUAGACGGCAGCGCAAGUCUGGAGUGAAAUCGCAGGGCUUAACCAUGGAACUGCUUUGGAAACUGUGCAGCUAGAGUGCAGGAGAGGUAAGCGGAAUUCCUAGUGUAGCGGUGAAAUGCGUAGAUAUUAGGAGGAACACCAGUGGCGAAGGCGGCUUACUGGACUGUAACUGACGUUGAGGCUCGAAAGCGUGGGGAGCAAACAGGAUUAGAUACCCUAGUAGUC
rnacentral:rRNA from 1 species